rnacentral:pre_miRNA from 1 species
AUUUGUGGAUGGUGUUCAGCACUAGGGACAGGUUUGUGUGUGGAUGGUGUUCAGCACCAGGGACAGGGUUGUGCGUGG